CCUACGGGUGGCAGCAGUGAGGAAUAUUGGUCAAUGGGCGCAAGCCUGAACCAGCCAAGUAGCGUGAAGGAUGGCUGCCCUACGGGUUGUAAACUUCUUUUAUAAAGGAAUAAAGUGAGGCACGUGUGCCUUUUUGUAUGUACUUUAUGAAUAAGGAUCGGCUAACUCCGUGCCAGCAGCCGAGGUAAUCAGGGGGAUCCGAGCGUUAUCCGGCUUUAUUGGGUUUAAAGGGUGCGUAGAUGGGUUGUUAAGUCAGUUGUGAAAGUCUGCGGCCCAAGCGUAAAAUUGCAAUUGAUACUGGCAGCCUUGAGUACAGUUGAGGUAGGCGGAAUUCGUGGUGUAGCGGUGAAAUGCUUAGAUAUCACGAAGAACUCCGAUUGCGAAGGCAGCCUACUAAACUGCCACUGACAUUGAUGCUCGAAAGUGUGGGUAUCAAACAGGAUUAGAUACCCCGGUAGUC
rnacentral:rRNA from 1 species